rnacentral:rRNA from 1 species
AGCUCCAAUAGCGUAUAUUAAAGUUGUUGCAGUUAAAAAGCUCGUAGUUGGAUUUCUGGUGGGAGCGCCCGGUCUUCCCCGCAAGGGGUCGUUACUGGUGGCGUCUCCGGCCAUCCUCGGGUUCGGGCCGUCUGGCAUUAAGUUGUCGGGCGGUUUUCGGCCCGUCGUUUACUGUGAACAAAUUAGAGUGUUCAAAGCAGGCUUAGGCCGUUGAAUACAUUAGCAUGGAAUAAUGAGAUAGGACUUUGGUGGUCUAUUUUGUUGGUUUGCACGCCGAAGUAAUGAUUAAUAGGAGCAGUUGGGGGUAUUCGUAUUCAAUUGUCAGAGGUGAAAUUCUUGGAUUUGUUAAGGACACACGAUUGCGAAAGCAUUUGCCAAGGAUGUUUUCU